GAUGAACGCUAGCUACAGGCUUAACACAUGCAAGUCGCAGGGUAACAUGAGGAAAGCUUGCUUUCCUUGAUGACGACUGGCGCACGGGUGAGUAACGCGUAUCCAACCUUCCCAUAACUACGGGAUAACCCGUUGAAAGACGGCCUAAUACCGUAUGAUAUCGUUUGCUGACAUCAAAUAACGAUUAAAGGUUUAGCGGUUAUGGAUGGGGAUGCGUCUGAUUAGCUUGUCGGCGGGGUAACGGCCCACCAAGGCGACGAUCAGUAGGGGUUCUGAGAGGAAGGUCCCCCACAUUGGAACUGAGACACGGUCCAAACUCCUACGGGAGGCAGCAGUGAGGAAUAUUGGUCAAUGGGCGAGAGCCUGAACCAGCCAAGUAGCGUGCAGGAUGACGGCCCUAUGGGUUGUAAACUGCUUUUAUGUGGGGAUAAAGUGCGUGACGUGUCAUGCAUUGCAGGUACCACAUGAAUAAGGACCGGCUAAUUCCGUGCCAGCAGCCGCGGUAAUACGGAAGGUCCGGGCGUUAUCCGGAUUUAUUGGGUUUAAAGGGAGCGUAGGCUGUCUAUUAAGCGUGUUGUGAAAUUUACCGGCUCAACCGGUGGCUUGCAGCGCGAACUGGUCGACUUGAGUAUGCAGGAAGUAGGCGGAAUUCAUGGUGUAGCGGUGAAAUGCUUAGAUAUCAUGACGAACUCCGAUUGCGCAGGCAGCUUACUGUAGCAUAACUGACGCUGAUGCUCGAAAGUGCGGGUAUCAAACAGG
rnacentral:rRNA from 1 species